rnacentral:rRNA from 1 species
CAAUAGCGUAUAUUAAAGCUGUUGCGGUUAAAAAGCUCGUAGUUGGAUUUCUGUCAAGGACAACUGGUCCGCCCCUCGGGUGAGCACAUAGUUUGGUCUUGGCAUCUUGUUGGAAACUGUUGCUGCACUUGGUUGUGUGGCGCAGUGUCCAGCACUUUUACUUUGAGGAAAUUGGAGUGUUUCAAGCAGGCACAUGCCUUUGGACACAGUAGCAUGGAAUAAUUAGAUUGGGCUUUUGCUCCAACUUGUCGGUUUCUGGAGCUGAGGUGAGAAUUAAUGGGGAUUGUUGGGGGCAUCCGAAUUUAGCCGUCAGAGGUGAAAUUCUUGGAUCUGCUAAAGACGGACAACUGCGAAAGCGUUUGCCCAGGAUGUUUUCAUUGA